AAUAGAUACCCGGGUAGUCCACACCGUAAACGAUGAGUGCUAAGUGUUAGAGGGUUUCCGCCCUUUAGUGCUGCAGCUAACGCAUUAAGCACUCCGCCUGGGGAGUACGGCCGCAAGGCUGAAACUCAAAGGAAUUGACGGGGGCCCGCACAAGCGGUGGAGCAUGUGGUUUAAUUCGAAGCAACGCGAAGAACCUUACCAGGUCUUGACAUCCUCUGCCAACCCUAGAGAUAGGGCGUUCCCCUUCGGGAGACAGAGUGACAGGUGGUGCAUGGUUGUCGUCAGCUCGUGUCGUGAGAUGUUGGGUUAAGUCCCGCAACGAGCGCAACCCUUGAUCUUAGUUGCCUAGCAUUCAGUUGGGCACUCGUAAGGUGACUGCCGGUGACAAACCGGAGGAAGGUGGGGAUGACGUCAAAUCAUCAUGCCCCUUAUGACCUGGGCUACACACGUGCUACAAUGGAUGGUACAAAGAGCUGCGAACCCGCGAGGGUAAGCCAAUCUCAUAAAGCCAUUCUCAGUUCGGAUUGUAGG
rnacentral:rRNA from 1 species